CCUACGGGUGGCAGCAGUGAGGAAUAUUGGUCAAUGGGCGGGAGCCUGAACCAGCCAAGUCGCGUGAGGGAAGACGGUCCUAUGGAUUGUAAACCUCUUUAGGCGGGGAGCAAUGCCGGGCACGCGUGCCCGGAGGGAGAGUACCCGCAGAAUACGCAUCGGCUAACUCCGUGCCAGCAGCCGCGGUACUACGGAGGAUGCGAUCGUUAUCCGGCUGUAUUGGGUUUAAAGGGUGCGUAGGCGAAUUUUUAAGUCAGCGGUAAACUGUCCGGGCUCAACCCGGGCCGGCCGUUGAAACUGGGGAUCUUGAGUGGGCGAGAAGUAUGCGGAAUGCGUGGUGUAGCGGUGAAAUGCAUAGAUAUCACGCAGAACUCCGAUUGCGAAGGCAGCAUACCGGCGCCCGACUGACGCUGAGGCACGAAAGCGUGGGGAGCGAACAGGAUUAGAUACCCGUGUAGUC
rnacentral:rRNA from 1 species